UGAGGAAUAUUGGUCAAUGGGCGAGAGCCUGAACCAGCCAAGUCGCGUGAGGGAAUAAGGCCCUACGGGUCGUAAACCUCUUUUGCCGGGGAGCAAGUCGGGGUUCGUGAGCCCUGAUGGAGAGUACCCGGAGAAAAAGCAUCGGCUAACUCCGUGCCAGCAGCCGCGGUAAUACGGAGGAUGCGAGCGUUAUCCGGAUUUAUUGGGUUUAAAGGGUGCGUAGGCGGGCUGGCAAGUCGGCGGUCAAAUGUCGGGGCUCAACCCCGGCCUGCCGUCGCAAACUGCCAGGUCUUGCAGGUGAGUCGAGAAAGGCAGGCAGGAAUGGCGUGGUGUAGCGGUGAAAUGCAUAGAUAUCACGCAGAACCCCGAUUGCGAAGGCAGCCUGCCGGCGCUCAACUGACGCUGAGGCACGAAAGUGCGGGGAUCGAACAGGAUUAGAUACC
rnacentral:rRNA from 1 species